rnacentral:rRNA from 1 species
GUCUACGGCCGUGCCACCCUGAACAAGCCCGAUCCCGUCUGAUCUCGGAAGCUAAGCAGGAUUGGGCCUGGUUAGUACCUGAAUGGGAGACCACCUAGGAAGACCAGGUGCUGUAGGUG